GGCAAGUGGCUCAGUGGAGAGAGCCUGGGCUUGGGAGACAGAGGACAUGGGUUCGAAUCCCAGCUCUGCCA
rnacentral:tRNA from 1 species